AUAGUUGGCAGUUUGCUAAGGUACUUCACAGGAUUAACAAGUGAAAAAAUAGGCUGAGUUUUGUUUGAGAAUUGUGUCAGUCUGAGUUACAUGAAUAUGCUAUCUCUUUUUAAUUAAGUAACAAUGCAAAACUUAUACCAUAUUUAUAUUAUGUUUUCUUCUCAAAUUUGUCUAAGAAAUUAAGAGAACCUGUCCAAAAAAGUGACCAGUUGCUCCAACUCUGGGGUCUUUCUAAGAGACAGCUACAUUGUCAUGUUUGGAGUUUUAAAAAAUGUCAAAAGAGAGAGGGAGGAACCUACUGCCUGUCACGGAAGACCACAAAUCUGUCAGCAAACUUCAUCUGUCAGGCUCGUUGCCCAAACUUGUUGCUCAAGAGCUUCUGGCAUGCCAUAACAAACAAGAGUGUGUAGUGACUCAUUGCCUCAAAUAACUGGUUAAACUGUAUAAAAAGGAGGAGUAAAUAAUAAACACUGUAAACUUUGA